rnacentral:lncRNA from 1 species
UUUUUUUUUUUUUAGCAGAGAUCGGGUUUCACUAUGUUGGCCAGGAUGGUCUCAAUCUCCCGACCUCUGGCGAUCUGCCUGCCUCGGCCUCCCAAAGUGCUGGGAUUACAGGCGUGAGGCAGCGCGCCAGGCCUAUAGCAGCAUUUUAAAAGGACAUUUGCUUGGGUAUAUAAUUUUAUAUCCAACAUUUUUUUCCUUAAAUAUUUAAAAAUAUCCUACUCCUUCUUUUGUUGCAUCCAUUUUUGUUGCUAUGUCUGAUAUUCUGAUCCUUGCUUCUUUGCAGGUGAUCUCUGACUCACUGUAAGCUUUGUAAAUUUCUCUAUGACUUGCAUGUUCUAAAAUAUCUCGCUAGCAUUUUCAGUCAUAGGUUUUUCUUUGUAUAUCCUGUUUGGCCUGAAGGCAAAUCUGGCAAUGAAAACCCAAGUGCUCACACACCCAUGACUCUGCUGAACUGCUCGCACUUCUUACCAGGCGUCCUCAUCACAAUGCUUUGCCCAUGUCCAGGACUCUUUAACCAGAGAUGCAUUUUUUGAUAUGUGAUAUGUGAGGUCCAGUAUAAACUAACCAAUUAAAAACACCUUAUGUUGUAAGAUCUGUGUGCUCUGUUGUUCUAACUGAAUAUUUUUAUCUACAAAGCCUGUAUUGGGGUUAAUUCCAUCCUUAGAACCUGGCAUUAGAGGGACAUCAUGUGGUAGUAUAAGGUUAUGCAGGCAGGCUUGUCGGCAGCUUUCUUUGUGAAUUGCUUUUUCUUGAGAGGUCAACUCUUCGUUCACAGGAUGCACUUUUGCUAACAAUUAUCAUACGCCAAAUAUCAUAUCCUUUAUACCAAAACAACAUUUUGUCACUGUAUAAUGGAUUAAGUUAUUUAGGUGGAGAGGAAUUUUCAGGAUUUUUUUUUUUUUAAGUUUUUGAAAUAAAUAUAGGGAAUAACAAUUCUAAAGGUUGUUUUAGGAUACACACUAAUGGAGAGUAUAAAACUAUCCAGUGGAUGUCACUUUCAGAAUGCCUUAAAGUCAUUAACAUUUGAAUCCUAACCAGAUUUUAAAAGAAGUGUGAAUGUUGUUUGCUCGUCAAAAGCAGUGAUGAUAAUCUUAAAUAUAGAGUCCAGGAAUGGCAUCUGUGAAACACAAACAUCUUUCUCCAACUUGAUGGUGAAUUAAUGCUGACUGUGAGCUAACAUAAGAGCCUUAUUAUUUAAAUUGUGUUUUUUAGUAGCAUUCUGAUCAAAACCAUUAUUAAUGUUGUUGCCUUGCACCGCGCACAUCUUUAUAUCAUUGUGUUCUAGUAUCAUGAGAUAAGCAUAUGGUUCUCAUAUAAUUUUUUAGUGUAAUAGUGUUAUGUUUGUGCUAUGUUUUCUUUACAUGUUUUUAUUUUGAAGAUUUACAUCAGAUCCAGUUAUUUAUAGGGCAUUGAAGACCAAACAUAUGCAAACAUCAAGUAUUUUAGAGUUGAUUUCUAGCAGAGGCUGAGGUGGGACUCUUGUUCGAGGGAUUUAGUGAGGGAGCAUCCUCAGGAGAAGAGCAUGGGGGGGAUCAGUACAGGACAGGGAAUCCAGCAUGGCAAGAAUGUGUCUUAGCUGGAGACUGGCUUCAGCUUGACCCCACAGGACAACUCUAGAGCAUCGCUGUCCAGUGGAAAUAUAUUGCAUGCCAUACAGGUAAUUUUAAAUUUUCUGGUAGCCACAUUUAAACACGUAAAAAAAAACAGAUGGUUUAAACACUUUGAACGAGUGCAUCCAAAGUAUUGACAUUUCAGCAUGUAUCAAUAUUAAACAUUUGAUAAGAUAUCUGUAAUAGUCCAUUUUCACACUGCUGAUAAAGACAUACCCAAGACUGGAAAGAAAAAGAGAACGAAUUGGACUUACAGUUCCACACGGCUAGGGAGGCCUCAGAGCCAUGGCGAGAGGCGAAAGGCCCUUUCACCUGGAGUCA